UGGGGAAUAUUGCACAAUGGGCGCAAGCCUGAUGCAGCCAUGCCGCGUGUAUGAAGAAGGCCUUCGGGUUGUAAAGUACUUUCAGCGGGGAGGAAGGGAGUAAAGUUAAUACCUUUGCUCAUUGACGUUACCCGCAGAAGAAGCACCGGCUAACUCCGUGCCAGCAGCCGCGGUAAUACGGAGGGUGCAAGCGUUAAUCGGAAUUACUGGGCGUAAAGCGCACGCAGGCGGUUUGUUAAGUCAGAUGUGAAAUCCCCGGGCUCAACCUGGGAACUGCAUCUGAUACUGGCAAGCUUGAGUCUCGUAGAGGGGGGUAGAAUUCCAGGUGUAGCGGUGAAAUGCGUAGAGAUCUGGAGGAGUACCGGUGGCGAAGGCGGCCCCCUGGACGAAGACUGACGCUCAGGUGCGAAAGCGUGGGGAGCAAACAGG
rnacentral:rRNA from 1 species